rnacentral:rRNA from 1 species
UACAGAGGGGGCAAGCGUUGUUCGGAAUUACUGGGCGUAAAGGGCGCGUAGGCGGCCUGCUAAGUCGAACGUGAAAUCCCCGGGCUUAACCCGGGAACUGCGUCCGAUACUGGCUGGCUUGAAUCCGGGAGAGGGAUGCGGAAUUCCAGGUGUAGCGGUGAAAUGCGUAGAUAUCUGGAGGAACACCGGUGGCGAAGGCGGCAUCCUGGACCGGUAUUGACGCUGAUGCGCGAAAGCCAGGGGAGCAAACGGG